ensembl:lncRNA
GCAUACAUUAUAUUUCAAUUUUAAAAAAAAGAAAGAAAAACAGAAAAAGAGAGAGACAGCACAUGAGAUCUUUGCAGCUUUGUUUUGAGCGGACGCGCUUGUCCCAUAGGUUGUUCAACUUGCCAGCUCUCUUCAGAGGACCCAACGGUGCCAGAGGAGACUUGCUCCAGGUCCCAUCUGAGACUUGGAAGCGGCUUCUCAUGCAUGUCUUCCCUCAAGUUUCUGGAAGGAUGAUGUGGGGCACGACCUGGGGGACAAAAGCAGUGGUUUCAUCCCCAGAAGCCUCAGCCGCUCAGUCCAUUUCCUUCUACAAUCAACUCUGGACUUGGAGAGGCAGUGUUUGUCUACAGUCAUAGAGUUAGCUGAUUCCAGUUCAGGAUGUUUUCUUCUGCACACAUGGAAAUCCAUGAUUCACAGGCAUACGUGCCCAAGCACCUGCUUGAUUUGUGUCUUCUCAAAAGUCAGUCCUGAGUGAAGAGGACUUCAGGUAAACCAAAAGGUUUGAAACUUUGAUAAAGUGUUUUAAUUGGGUUUCAUGACUGCAGAGAAGGCAAUGGCAC